CGCUGGCUGGCCCAGGGGGCGGGGCGGGGCGGGGGCACCGGGAGAGCAGGCCCGCGAGACUGCGUGCGGCGCCCGCCCAACCAUGCUCCUCUACCGCAGCGCCGUGUGGUUCGCCAAAGGCCUGCGCGAAUACACCAAGAGUGGCUAUGAAUCUGCGUCCAAGGACUUCAUCCCUGAUGACCUGGACGUCCAAGUCCCUGGAAGAGCCUUCAUGGUCACCGGGGGGAACAGCGGCAUUGGAAAAGCAACUGCCUUCGAGAUCGCCAGGCGAGGUGGCACAGUUCACCUGGUUUGUCGAGAUGAAAACCGAGCGGAAGGUGCCAGAGGUGAGAUCAUCAGGGAGAGUGGGAACCAGAACAUCUUUCUGCACAUUGUGGACUUAUCUGAUCCCAAGACAGUCUGGAAAUUUGUUGAAAAUUUCAAGCAGGAACAUACCCUCAAUGUCCUGAUCAAUAAUGCAGGUUGCAUGGUCAAUAAGAGAGAGCUCACGGAAGAUGGACUUGAAAAAAACUUUGCUACCAACACUCUGGGUGUGUAUGUUCUCACGACCGCCCUGAUCCCCGUCUUGGAGAAAGAACACGACCCCAGAGUGGUAACAGUCUCCUCCGGAGGAAUGUUGGUUCAGAAACUGAAUACCGAUGACCUACAGUCAGAAAGGACAGCAUUCGAUGGUACCAUGGUCUAUGCACAAAACAAAAGGCAGCAGGUGGUCCUGACGGAGCAGUGGGCCCGAGCGCACCCGGCCAUCCACUUCUCGUGCAUGCAUCCCGGCUGGGUCGACACCCCAGGUGUGCGGUUGUCGAUGCCCGGGUUCCACGCCAGGCUGGGGGCCAGGCUGCGCUCUGAGGCCCAGGGCGCGGACACCGUGCUGUGGCUGGCUCUCGCCCCAACUGCCGCCGUGCAGCCCAGCGGCCGCUUCUUCCAAGGUGACUUCCUCCCUGGGUGUGAAGGCGCCACCGACCCUCCUCUCCGUGCAGCUCGGGGCUGGGAGGGACUGUUCCCCUUCCCCGUGAUUGUGCCCGGCCUUCCUUGGCAGGGCGUUUCCUUCGCCUGUCGGGGCGCUUUGUGAAGGGCCUCACCUCUGACUUCGCACCACCCGCUUUUUCCAUCCACCUUUCUGAACUCAGUGGGUCCCUUGAGGAUGAAAUCCUCGGGUUGUCAUCCUUGUCCUGAGUCUUGGGAGAGGCCGGGCCCUGUGGGCACCGCGGAGAUGAAAGCUCCCUCUCCGAAGACCCGGGGAUGGGAGCUGCAAGCAGCAGUGCAAAGGGAAUGAGUCUCUUCUUUCUGCUUCCGGGGGCAGUUAUCUGUUGCGGGUUUGCUCCCAACCUGGGCAGCAUCCCGACGGGCAGUCUGAGAGGAGGCAUGCUGAGGGCGGAUGCUGGAGGCCAGGGCCUUCUGCCUCUUUCCCCACCACGGAUGUGGCUGCCUGAGCCUGAGCCAUGAUGGAGCUCUGGUGACCCUGUGGAGGCUGGGGGCGUGGCCGUACCUUCUCCGGUUCUCAAAGCACUCCACACUCCCCAAGCCCAAACCCCACCCCCGCCGGCACCCAUGCCUGAGGACCCUCCCCCCAGCCCGCUGGAGUCCCUCAAAAGCCAGCCCGACACCUGUCCUCCCCAACUCGGUCUCCCUUCUGUAGCACCUCAUCGUCUGUGGGGACCCUUGAAGGCAGGGGUGGCAUCUAACUCCGUCCGGUGUGGGCCCCUCCCCAGCAGAUGUCCGUGACGUGACUGACGCGGGGCCCGAGUGGUGGGCAGAGGCUCGUCCACGCCGCCUCGCUGCUCACACCUUUGUUCUUCCCUCUCGCUUUUAGACCGGAAACCAGUGCCCACACAUUUGCCUUUUGCUAGGACAUCGUCCUCACCGGCUGAAGAGGAAAAACUAAUUGAAAUCCUGGAAGAGCUAGCUCAGAGAUUUAAAUAGGCCAGGCCAGACCCAACGCGGGGCUGGAACCGCCUCAUAAAAUAUGGGAAGGUGUGGCCCAGGGGUAGACCAGUACACAGACCCCACGUCUAUAGAUUGGCCCAUGUUCCACUGCUGUGGUCUGAGCUGGCUUCCUCUCCUUCUGCAGUCAUAGAAAUCAGCCCCGUUCUUUAUACAAAGCCUAGUAUUGAAGCCGUGACCCACCAUCUCCUCACUGUGGGACCACAGUGACGCUGGGGAAAGUUGUAACAAAAAUCGGUGGACAGAUUUAGGAUAGCUCCAUACACGUUCUGGAUGGUCACGGCGAAAUAAACCCACAGCGGAGGAGAACCCAGCUGGGCACCGCUCAACCAGUCCCACGGUGCGGGGCCUUCAGACGUGCCUGAGGUGCUCAGGUCCAGGCUGUCAGCCGAGGAGCCCCUAGGAAGGGGCUUUCUGGAAGAGCCGUCGGAUCAGAGGAGAUGCUUAGUCUUCCCUAGGUUAAGUCAGUAUGGGUAAAAUAUUAUUAAUAUAUUUCUGAAACUGUAUAUUGCAUGGGAAGACCCUGGAGACUUAUCAGUGCUCUCAUUGUCUGUUUUUACCUGCAGGCAAAAUACUGAUCAAAUCUCUUAGGAAAUAGUUAUGUAGGGUAUCUCAAUAGAGAAUUUUACUCUUCUCAAUUCUGAUAUUAUUUAUAACAGUAAAAAUUAACCAUUAAGUCUCUAAUAUCUACAGGUAACUUUGUAUUAUUCUGACUCUUGCCUGAAGCCUCCACUAUAAGCUACAGGCCAGAAAGGUCAAUCUCAGAGUUUCCUGGGAAAGGACUCUAUAUAGCAGGUAUUUUUAAAUACUGGUAUUUAAACGAAUAGACUCUUAGGCAAAGGGUACUGAACUGACAUUGCUUAGACAAUCUGUAAACUGUGCUAGUGGAUUGAGUCAGGAUUUUCUUGGAUUUCUGGACUCUUUUUAGUCUGCAUGCAGAUGGCUUCACAAAUGCAGACUGCUGAACCAAAAACCAGCAGAACAAGAAUUAAUGACACAGGACUGAAUGAACUGAAGAGGGAAGUUUUACUGUGGUUACUUGUCUGGAAUACUGUUGACGUUGCUUUAAUGUUCUAUUUUUUGGAUAUAUGAGGCUGCCUUUUCUCUUACUUUUUAUGCUAUCUCUAACUUACAAUUUAGUAAAUUCUGCUUUGAUAAGCUAAAUCCAAACAUUUAAGAAUGAUAUCCAAUUCCCAGAGAUCCCCCAGAAUUCAAAAUCUGUUACUGAGUCCCCUUGAUUUUCAUGGCAAUAUAGUUAUUUCACAGGUUUAAUUAGAAUCUAUCCAUAGUAUAUCACUGGGCAGACAAGGCCUUACCUAGAGUAUCAUAUUAGAGGGUAGUGUUCAUUGAAUCAGAUAUGACUGGCCCCUUUAAGAAUUAAGGGAGUCAAUGCCUAUAACCAUCCCCCUCCCAAAAGGAAAACUGGCCUGGUACCUGGUUUGCAGGGUCCUGGCCUUACAGGUGGUAAGAAAGCUACCAGGCCAGGAAGCUAGCAAAUGUUGAAAACCUCGAGGAAUUCAACCAAGGUUAUAAGUACUAUAGGUAAAAAAUGGUGGAGAUUUUCUUGGGCUCAGUUUCCUAGCCUUGGGAUAGCAGAUAACAGAGGUUCUGAAAAGCUCAAUCCAAGACUCCUUAUAAAAACUUUUGUAAAUUUUGUGGGCUUAACAGUUGUUUAACACUCCAUAAUGUACGGCUCCAUAUUUGCAAAGCAAACCAAGAUGGCCUACGGGUUACUUUACACUCUUAUUGCACCAGUGUACAUAAUUAGGCCGAACUUUAUGAGACCAGCCUUUUUUUGUGUGAUCAAGAAUAAUCUUUCAGAUUAUUCUGAUUACAGGAGAGGAGGGGUAGGUCAAAAAACUUUGAAAUGGGCAAAAAGAAAUUACUGGGUAUCUUUUCAAUGGAAUAUCAGGUAUGGUCUAGCACCCCCUUCUGGGUUUUCUGACUCUAUGGGGGUCUGUACCUUCAGUAUCUUUACGCUAUUUUAUAACUCUGUAAGUUAUAGAAAACUGAUACUACUGCAAAUGAAUCUUAUCCAGUGAAGAUGCAACUAAUUUCCACAUCCUUUUCCUCACAUGGAAGAAAUCAACUGUGAAAAUACAAAUUCAUUGCAGCAUUCUCCAUUGCCUCUGCAUGUUUCUACUCUGGAUUUUCCUCUGAACUGGUUGUAACAUCUUACCAGCUCCUUUAUUAAUUAAUGACUAAUAUAAAAUCUUUGACAUGUAUUCAUUAAAAAACAAAGUCAAUUGUUUUCUAUCUCUCCUGGUUGUUACUUCAUACAUUUUAGAAUAUGGACUGACACCAUUGUGACAUUCCGGGGCAAGAAGGAAAAUCUAUCUAUUUGAACAGAUUCAUAACCGCCCUGUGAUUUGAACUACAUUUCAUUUGUUAAGACACCUUGAUACACGUCAAGGAUCUUGCAAAACGAAAUAAGCUACAGAAGGAAGUGCUUUGCCACUCACAGCUGGCAGCAACAUUCAGCAACAGAUACAUAAUUUAUGGGACUCCAGUCCUGUUAAUAUUCCAACACAGGAGAACACAGUGAUGAAUGCUGUGUCCCAAGCUUUGUAAUAAAGAUGCUCAGGGGCUUCUUGAUUUAAGGAUUCAAAAUACAACCACCUUGCAGUUAAAAACGAGGUGAAGGAACAUCCCCAGGUUCACAGAUCAACGGUUAUAAAAAGUAAAAGAUACCUUCUUCUUGCAUUCAUGUUUGAUCCGGCAUCACUGUAGCAUUUAUACUAGAAAGCAUCUCAAAACUGGUUAUUAUUUCAUAGAUGAGCAUUCCAUGAACUGCACUACAAAGCUCUUAUGAGUGUAUGAAGACCCCACUUUGCACAACCAACAGGCUCCACCAUCUACAAAGACUAUGCUUAGCGGGAUGGCCGCACUCCCUUUCUCACCAGCCCUAGAGGCAGCAUUUCUGAUCGGGCCAAGCUGCGUAACACGGAGGACGCGACGCAAAAUGAAAACAAAGGGCCCCUUGUCAAAAAAAUAAAGAAUUACAAGAUGGUGACAGUAGAGCACUAAACCAAGCAUGGGACCCUUCUAAGCGUGAGGCCUCGUGUGAUUGCAAAGGUCACACGCCCAUGAAGGCUGGUCCUGUGUCUGAUGCUUCUUAAGGAAAAAGGGUAGAGAAGCCUUUAUCCUCUUUAUAGAAACAGAUUUUCAGACACAGGCUAACAUCUACCCAAACGUCAACUUAGGCCCUGUUCCAUCCCCAAAGUAGGGGGGACUUAAAUGUACAGCAAAGAAAUGAAACUUUCCAAAGUAUGAAAAUUCCCAGCCCACUUGGUGAAAUCUAACCAGCUAAGCAUCUGCUUCUAGAGAUCUCUCUCUCUCUUAUAUUCAUAACUCCCACAUUCCUAAGUUUUCCAGACCUCCUCGGACCAGAGAAGGUCCGUGACCGAGCCACACAUGAGAGGUCUCCAGGAUAACUGACACUUAGGCUUAUCCCACACCAAAGGGACCCUAGAAGGAUCGUCUCCCCAGGGAUUCUUGGACAACAGCCAAGGCUGAACCUGAACUUGGGGUCUCCCUUCUGGGAACACUGGUUUGUGCAUCAGCAACAAUUUGCUGUUCACUGGCUAGAGUGGAAGUUCAGAUUAGCCACUGGCCCUCUGUCCACUUGCAGUUUCCUGAGAACACUGUAUUUAGUUCAUGCAGUUCUGUUUGGGUAAUCCUCAGCAGAACGGUGAGAAUCUCUUCAUCUCCUAAGAUCCAGAUCAACAGGGAAUCUCCCCCACCGAGGCCACCUACUUUCCAGUAAAAUGGCAAACGGACCCACCUUUACCACCUUUUCAUACGUCUAGCACAGCCCCAUAGAGGCAGGGACUGUUUUUUUAGUCACCUUUGGGUCCUAAGAGCCCAAUACAAAGUCUGGUCUGUAGACGGAGCUCAAUGAACAUCUGCUGAAUAUAUUAGGUAUAGAGGGAGUAGGUGUAUGUGGCAAUAUUUCCAUUGGAAAUGCUACAAUCAGGGAGAAACAGUAAUCUUAUCUGAAAGCUCGAUUUUUGAAUUAUUAUCAUUUUUAUUAACAAGAAUAAUGUUAACAAUUGCCACUAAUUACCCCUUAUUCUUGUGCUGAUUAUUUUACAUGCAUUGUAUUAUUUCUGAUUUUUGACAACCUUUGAGGGCUUUUCUUUCCAAUAUUGUCCUUAUUUUAGAGAUGAGGAAACUGAAGAUCAGAGAUGAGGUGUCUUGCCCAAGCCUACAGAGCCCUCAGCAGAAGGGCUGCCUCGUAUACAGCCUGGCCUGACUCAAAGGCUAUUACUAGUCACCACACUAUACAACCCCUCUGUCUUUGACAAGAUGCUACCCUCUGUAAAGAACUUUAGCUGCUAAUACUUUGACCUAUUAUGUCUUUAGUUAGCUAAAUACUUAAAAAUAGAAAAGACAUCUCUUCCCAUCACCCCUAAUGAUUCUCUGGUGUGACAAUGAGAAACGCUCCUAAUCUCAGAUUCGGAAGGAGAGAAAGCUUUCAUACAUAUUUAUCCUUGGUCCCUCUCCCCCAAACCCAGAAGAACCUGAGUGCAAGAAUUUUACUUCCUUUCAUAACUUUGAUAUAAGAGAAAAGCAUAAAUUCUCCCACUGUUUAUUUAUUUAUGAAUAGCCUAUUUCUUUACCAAAAGAAUUCGAAGAUGCUUAUAACAAAAGUCUUACCCAUGGUAAGAAGAGGAAGAGAGAAACCCAGAGCUGGGGCUGUGGAAAGAGGCAAAGACACAGGCCACGUGGGCCCAGGGUCCCGGCUGUGACAGAGCCUCAUGCAGCCCGCGGAUCCCAGUCCUGGUGGAGGGGUCCAUCACAAGGGACCACGCAGACCUUUACCUGUGCUUUAAAUCAAGUUACCAUUAAAUUAAAUUGCCAGGAAGUCUUAGAGUCCUAAGAAAACACUAUUAGAAAGAAAAAAUAUGGCCAUGAAAGAAAAGGUGGCCAUGAAAUGAUAGGUAUUAUCCUAUACCUAUCAGAAUAAAAAAGAAUCUAAAAGGUCCAAGUCCCAUGAUUAGAUUUGACAAGGUGGGCACGGGACAAUAAAUGUCCAGGUUUAUGCUUCAAUAAUAUCCAUCUAACUGGUAACUGAUUCUUGAAAAACAUAACUGGCCCCUGAAAUUGGAACCUUUUCUUUGCCUUUCUUUCCCCAGAGCUGGCACGUAAUCAUGUUCUACUUGCUGCAGGGAAUAAAAAUACCAAAAUGCUUCAAAUGCAGAUAAUAUUGUACUAUAGAAGUAUACUUUCUCAGCUUUUUUUCCUUGGACUUGGAAACAUUUUUGCUGUCAUCAAUCACUUACUUGUGCUAAAGCUCUCUCUGCUUUGAUGGGAUUUUUACACAUCAAAUCAAACUAGCUACAUUAAUGUUGUAUUUCUGCCAAUGAAGGAUGGUGUGAAAGCUCAGAACCUGGGACAGAAGCCACAGGGAGCUGUCCCUCCACACUAUGGCUGGACGUUUCCAGAAGAGGGGAAGGCAGUCUCCCCACCCUGAGGGGUGGGGAAUCUCUGGUCCAGUCUGCUCUUCCCGGUGCCCAAGCUCAAUGAUUGGGCCCCUGAUUUGGAACUCUGGCCACCAACAGUCAUCCUGGGGGAAGGUGGGAAAAUGAGGAAUUGUAGGAGAGCAAGGGGCAGCCUGAGGCCCCAGGCAGAAAGUCUUUGGCCUCUGAAGUAGAAAAGAAAGAAAACACCAUGGGGCACGGUGGGGACCAUGUUAUUCAAUGUUCAUUUUUGUUUCCCCAGAGCCUAGCACAGCGCUGGAUACAAAGAAGGUUCUGAGAAGCUUUCUCUGCUGGACUGAACUGAGGUCUGGGAGACCUAAGCUACCAGCUGGAGUCUUUGAGCAUGGAAGCCCAAUAUUCUCACCGAAAAAAUGAUAUCUGACCUCUCUCUUUCAUAGGGUUAUUGUAAGAUUAAACUGAGGUGUCUGUGUGUUUUGAAAGCUCUUUGACAAAGUAUUAGGCGCUACUCAAAUACAAGAAUCAAGGAUGGGGUGAAUUGGGAGAUUGGGAUUGACAUACAUACACUACUGAUACUAUGUAUAAAACAGAUAACUAAUGAGAACCUACUGUAUAGCACACAGGACUCUACUCAAUGCUCUGCGGUAACUUAAAUGGGAAGGAAAUCCAAAAAAGAAGGGAUAUAUGUAUAUGUAUAGCUGAUUCAUUUUGCUGUACAGCAGAAACUAACACAUUGUAAAGCAACUAUACUCCAAUAAAAAUUUAAAAAAAAAAGAAACAAGAAAAGAUUGCAGAUAAUUUGAAAAAAACAAAAAACGAAAAAUAAAUACAGGAAUCACCAAACACCAAUCCAGUGGACAAUUUUCAGGGCAGAGGAAUGGCUGCUGUGAACGUGGGCCUUAUCCUGCCUGAUGCCCUUGACCUUCUUUCCUGCACCUUCUUUGUGAACCCCGUCUUCCUCCAUCUGUCAGCAGCUCCAAUGCUUCCCUGUCCCCACCUCGGGCACUCAAACCCACUCUCACAGCGUGACACCAACGAUGCUGAGGAAGUUUACUUCUCCUAGUUCUGUGACACCAAGGGCAACCCCUCUCAGACUAAGACCUGGUGUCAAGGAGCCCCUCAUAGACUCCACCUUAUUACUAAGCUUGAAUUAUCAAUAAAUAAAGCACCAGGCAAGGCCUUCUGCUGUUCUUCCUGUUCAAGGCAGUUCUGACCGGUAGCUCCUGACCUCACCAGCCUGUCCACCGCACCAGGCUCCAGGGUGCGAUCCUAUCAGGAUGGACUCCAAGUAUGGUUCGUUUCAUCUUCUAAAAGGCCAAGCCUGUAUGUCUCAGAAACUGGAAGACCUAUUAGUUUAGGCUUCAUUUUUCUGGAACUGAGAGACUCUGUCUCCACUUUAUAGCUUUUCCUUGCUUAUCCAACUGUAGAUGCAAGUCUCCCAGAACAACGUUCUGCCUAAGGACACGCAGCACCCAGUGAUGCUGGCGCGCUCCCUGGAAAGUUGCUUCCUACAGGGGCCACAUUAACUGGCCCCUCUUGCAACUAGGGGGCAUGUGACCAGUUCUCAGCAAGGGAACCCAGAAAGUACGCGGAAGUCAUACACAUCCCUCCCAGGCCGAGGCAGUUAAGACGUUCCUUUUCCACUUUCUCUUUAUACUUCCUCCUGGAGGACUCCAAGACGCCAGGACACAGAGAAAUUCUAGAAGGAGCCUGGGACCCUGAAUCACCACAUGGAAAAGAACAGGAACAUUUGCACUGGAUUGUUACAUGCAUGAGGAAAACGCCUUUGCAUUAAGCCACUGAAAUGUUGAAAGUUAUUUGUUAGAGCAGUACCAUUACCUACUACAAUGCCACAGAAUUACUAGAAUAUUAUAAUAAGGCUGGUCCAAGAGGAAGGUGAGAGUCACCCAAAGCUUCAAAAAUGUCAGAGAAGUGAAAAGAAGCUAUUAGUUUACACUGUUAAUAUUGAUGCCUAAUACUUAAACAGAAUUAGAGAGAACCCUGGUUGGAAAACUGUUUCAUUAGCCUCCAAAGCAACCCACUAUAAACUCUGAAUUCGUUUUUCCCUCAAAAUGUAUCUAGAAUCUAAGCACUUCUCACCAUCUCCAUUGCUACUAUCCUUGUAUGAGCCACAAUUAAAAUUCUUGCCUAGAAAAUUAAAAA